GCUGAAGCACCAGCUUGCUGGUGUGGAUGAGUGGCGAACGGGUGAGUAAUACGUGAGUAACCUGCCCUUGACUCUGGGAUAAGCCCGGGAAACUGGGUCUAAUACUGGAUGCUACAUGUCACCGCAUGGUGGUGUGUGGAAAGGGUUUACUGGUCUUGGAUGGGCUCACGGCCUAUCAGCUUGUUGGUGAGGUAAUGGCUCACCAAGGCGACGACGGGUAGCCGGCCUGAGAGGGUGACCGGCCACACUGGGACUGAGACACGGCCCAGACUCCUACGGGAGGCAGCAGUGGGGAAUAUUGCACAAUGGGCGAAAGCCUGAUGCAGCGACGCCGCGUGAGGGAUGACGGCCUUCGGGUUGUAAACCUCUUUCAGCAGGGAAGAAGCCACAAGUGACGGUACCUGCAGAAGAAGCGCCGGCUAACUACGUGCCAGCAGCCGCGGUAAUACGUAGGGCGCAAGCGUUGUCCGGAAUUAUUGGGCGUAAAGAGCUCGUAGGCGGUUUGUCGCGUCUGCUGUGAAAGCCCGGGGCUUAACCCCGGGUGUGCAGUGGGUACGGGCAGACUAGAGUGCAGUAGGGGAGACUGGAAUUCCUGGUGUAGCGGUGGAAUGCGCAGAUAUCAGGAGGAACACCGAUGGCGAAGGCAGGUCUCUGGGCUGUUACUGACGCUGAGGAGCGAAAGCAUGGGGAGCGAACAGGAUUAGAUACCCUGGUAGUCCAUGCCGUAAACGUU
rnacentral:rRNA from 1 species